rnacentral:miRNA from 10 species
GAUCAAAAGCCUAUUUAAGUCA